rnacentral:rRNA from 1 species
UCCAGACUCCUACGGGAGGCAGCAGUGGGGGAUAUUGCACAAUGGGGGGAACCCUGAUGCAGCGACGCCGCGUGAGUGAAGAAGUAAUUCGUUAUGUAAAGCUCUAUCAGCAGGGAAGAAUAAAUGACGGUACCUGAGUAAGAAGCCCCGGCUAACUAUGUGCCAGCAGCCGCGGUAAUACGUAGGGGGCAAGCGUUAUCCGGAUUUACUGGGUGUAAAGGGGGCGCAGACGGCAAUGCAAGCCAGGAGUGAAAGCCCGGGGCCCAACCCCGGGACUGCUCUUGGAACUGCAUGGCUGGAGUACAGGAGGGGCAGGCGGAAUUCCUAGUGUAGCGGUGAAAUGCGUAGAUAUUAGGAGGAACACCGGUGGCGAAGGCGGCCUGCUGGACUGUGACUGACGUUGAGGCCCGAAGGCGUGGGGAGCAAACAGGAUUAGAUACCCUAGUA